AAUGAACGCUGGCGGCAGGCCUAACACAUGCAAGUCGAACGGAUCCUUCGGGAUUAGUGGCGUACGGGUGAGUAACGCGUGGGAACAUACCCUUUGGUACGGAAUAGCCUCGGGAAACUGGGAGUCAUACCGUAUGUGGUCGAGAGACGAAAGAUUUAUCGCCAAAGGAUUGGCCCGCAUUGGAUUAGGUAGUUGGUGGGGUAAUGGCCUACCAAGCCGACGAUCCAUAGCUGGUUUGAGAGGAUGAUCAGCCACACUGGGACUGAGACACGGCCCAGACUCCUACGGGAGGCAGCAGUGGGGAAUCUUAGACAAUGGGGGAAACCCUGAUCUAGCCAUGCCGCGUGAUCGAUGAAGGCCUUAGGGUUGUAAAGAUCUUUCAGGUGGGAAGAUAAUGACUGUACCACCAGAAGAAGCCCCGGCUAACUCCGUGCCAGCCGCCGCCGUAA
rnacentral:rRNA from 1 species